rnacentral:rRNA from 1 species
AUGCACGCUGGCGGCGUGCCUAAUACAUGCAAGUCGAGCGAACGGACGAGAAGCUUGCUUCUCUGAUGUUAGCGGCGGACGGGUGAGUAACACGUGGAUAACCUACCUAUAAGACUGGGAUAACUUCGGGAAACCGGAGCUAAUACCGGAUAAUAUUUUGAACCGCAUGGUUCAAAAGUGAAAGACGGUCUUGCUGUCACUUAUAGAUGGAUCCGCGCUGCAUUAGCUAGUUGGUAAGGUAACGGCUUACCAAGGCAACGAUGCAUAGCCGACCUGAGAGGGUGAUCGGCCACACUGGAACUGAGGCACGGUCCAGACUCCUACGGGAGGCAGCAGUAGGGAAUCUUCCGCAAUGGGCGAAAGCCUGACGGAGCAACGCCGCGUGAGUGAUGAAGGUCUUCGGAUCGUAAAACUCUGUUAUUAGGGAAGAACAUAUGUGUAAGUAACUGUGCACAUCUUGACGGUACCUAAUCAGAAAGCCACGGCUAACUACGUG